UACGUAGGGUGCGAGCGUUAAUCGGAAUUACUGGGCGUAAAGCGUGCGCAGGCGGUUCGCUGUGUCCGAUGUGAAAGCCCCGGGCUUAACCUGGGAAUGGCAUUGGAAACUGGCGGGCUUGAGUGCGGCAGAGGGGGGUGGAAUUCCUGGUGUAGCGGUGAAAUGCGCAGAUAUCGGGAGGAACACCAAUUGCGAAGGCAGCAUUGCUGGACGGUACUGACGCUGAGGCGCGAAAGCGUGGGGAGCAAACAGG
rnacentral:rRNA from 1 species